GUAGGUGAACCUGCGGAAGGAUCAUUACCGGGUUCAGGGGGGGAAACCCCCCAACUCCCAACCCUUGCUUACCUACCACGUUGCUUCGGGGGGCCGUCCAGGCCCCCCGGAGGUCAAUCAAACUAUUUUUCCACAGACGUCCGAGCGAAUGCGAAAAUAAGUAAAAACUUUCAACAACGGAUCUCUUGGUUCUGGCAUCGAUGAAGAACGCAGCAUCUGACUGACUCGGGCAUAAGUCAUCUCGUAUGCC
rnacentral:misc_RNA from 1 species